rnacentral:rRNA from 1 species
UACAGAGGGGGCCAGCGUUAUUCGGAAUUAUUGGGCGUAAAGGGCGCGUAGGCGGCUUUGCGUGUCUUUCGUGAAAUCCCUCGGCUCAACUGAGGACGUGCGGAAGAAACUGCAGGGCUGGAGUCCGGGAGAGGAGGGUGGAAUUCCCAGUGUAGCGGUGAAAUGCGUAGAUAUUGGGAGGAACACCGGUGGCGAAGGCGGCCCUCUGGACCGGUACUGACGGCUGAUGCGCGAAAGCGUGGGGAGCAAAC